rnacentral:rRNA from 1 species
UACGAGGGGGGCGAGCGUUUGUUCGGAAUUAUUGGGCGUAAAGGGUGCGUAGGCGGUUUGGUAAGUCUGAUGUGAAAUCUAUGGGCUCAACUCAUAGUCUGCAUCGGAAACUGCCGGGCUUGAGUGUGGGAGAGGUGAGUGGAAUUCCUGGUGUAGCGGUGAAAUGCGUAGAUAUCAGGAGGAACACCUGUGGCGAAAGCGGCUCACUGGACCAUACUGACGCUGAUGCACGAAAGCUAGGGGAGCAAACAGG